UACGAGGGGGGCUAGUGUUGUUCGGAAUCACUGGGCGUAAAGGGAGCGUAGGCGGGCUCUUAAGUUAGGUGUUUAAUCCCGGGGCCCAACCCCGGACAGGCACCUAAAACUGGGAGUCUUGAAUAGUGGAGAGGACGGCGGAAUUGGGGGUGUAGCGGUGGAAUGCGUAGAGAUCCCCAAGAACACCAGUUGCGAAGGCGGCCGUCUGGACACAUAUUGACGCUGAGGCUCGAAAGCAUGGGGAGCAAACAGG
rnacentral:rRNA from 1 species